UACGUAGGGUGCAAGCGUUUGUCCGGAAUUAUUGGGCGUAAAGAGCUCGUAGGCGGUUUGUCACGUCGGAUGUGAAAACCCGAGGCUUAACCUCGGGCCUGCAUUCGAUUACGGGCUGACUAGAGGUGCCGUAGGGGAGAUUGGAAUUCCUGGUGUAGCGGUGGAAUGCGCAGAUAUCAGGAGGAACACCGAUGCGAAGGCAGAUCUCUGGGCCGUAACUGACGCUGAGGAGCGAAAGCAUGGGGAGCGAACAGG
rnacentral:rRNA from 1 species